rnacentral:rRNA from 1 species
AAUAUUGCGCAAUGGAGGAAACUCUGACGCAGCGACGCCGCGUGAGCGAUGAAGGUCUUCGGAUCGUAAAGCUCUGUCCUUGGGGAAGAAGGGCUUCGGACUUGACGGUACCCAUGGAGGAAGCCCCGGCUAACCACGUGCCAGCAGCCGCGGUAAUACGUAGGGGGCAAGCGUUGUCCGGAGUUAUUGGGCGUAAAUGGUGCGUAGGCGGUCUUUUAAGUCAGAUGUGAAAGCCCACGGCUAAACCGUGGGAUUGCAUUUGAAACUGGAGGGCUUGAGUAUCGGAGAGGGUUGUGGAAUUCCCAGUGUAGCGGUGAAAUGCGUAGAUAUUGGGAGGAACACCAGUGGCGAAGGCGACUACCUGGACGAUUACUGACGCUGAUGCACGAAAGCUAGGGGAGCAAACA